UACGUAGGAUCCAAGCGUUAUCCGGAAUUACUGGGCGUAAAGAGUUGCGUAGGCGGCUUAUUAAGCAGAGUGUGAAAGCGUACGGCUCAACCGUAUACACAUAUUCUGAACUGGUAAGCUAGAGGGCGAGAGAGGUACCUGGAAUUCCCAGUGUAGGAGUGAAAUCCGUAGAUAUUGGGAGGAACACCGAUGGCGUAGGCAGGGUACUGGCUCGCACCUGACGCUCAGGCACGAAAGCGUGGGGAGCAAACGGG
rnacentral:rRNA from 1 species